UACGAGGGGGGCGAGCGUUGUUCGGAAUUAUUGGGCGUAAAGGGUGCGUAGGCGGUUUGGUAAGUCUGAUGUGAAAUCUAUGGGCUCAACUCAUAGUCUGCAUCGGAAACUGCCGGGCUUGAGUGUGGGAGAGGUGAGUGGAAUUCCUGGUGUAGCGGUGAAAUGCGUAGAUAUCAGGAGGAACACCUGUGGCGAAAGCGGCUCACUGGACCAUAACUGACGCUGAUGCACGAAAGCUAGGGGAGCAAACAGG
rnacentral:rRNA from 2 species